CUGGAGUUUCUAAAUUUUGUUCACCUUGGAGAGACCCCACACCAGAAAAGGGCAAAUGAGCAGGUGGAGCUUCUCUCGUCCCACCUGUGCUUCAUCCAGAGCAGCCCUGUUUUCUUAUGUUUUUAUACUCCUUGUACAGUUUUGCUUCCAAAGGAUUUAAAAGUUACUCAACAAGAAAUUCUAUAAAGGCUCCUUCCAUCUGCACAUCGUACAGCUUGAGUAGAAGACAGAAAGAAGCCAGUUAGCACAGGGAAUGGGUUUCUAUGUUGGCCAGACUAGAUUCUAGAACAGCUGGAAAGCAGAGAGGGGCUUAGAGCAAGGGAGUGGGAAAUAGGGAGCCAUUGAAGGUUUGUGAGUAGAGGAGUGCCACAGAAAAAGAAAUUGAGCCCAUAAACUACUCUACUAGAAACUGAUCUGAAAAUCUCAACUGCUCAGAAAGUUCUGAGUAAAAACAAAGGGUGAUUUUUCCCCAUUGUCAGCCUUCCCUCCCAGGUCAUUUUACUGUAUGCAAAACAGGUAACUGUAAGACAAACAUUUUUUUCCACUGCCCUUCUCAGCCCCACAGGCCUUCAGGAAGACCCGAACUUCAAGCAAAGCCUUUUUAUUUUUCAACACCCACAGCUUCCAUUCAACAAUCAGAAGUUUUCCACUUUGAUCAAAGAGGCUGAACAAGAAGGCCAAGGGAGCAGCUGGUUCUCAGCAGCUCUGGGCAGACCACAGAGCCCUUGCUACCCACUCAUGUCCGUGCCUACCAGAGGACACAGCCUUCUCCUUAAAUCAGCCAGGAUUUAUGCUCUUAUGGACUCACUGGGAAGAAAUCUCCAGACCAACUCCUAAAGGCUGACCUAAUUGGGAGAAACUCGCAAGUUUUAGAUCUGUGUAAGAACAGCAGUAGGAAUACUCUAAGCUUGGCUUUUGACACAGGACAUUUCCUUAGGGGCAUCUGGGAUCUCUGCUGCCUCGAAGUGAUGCACUGCAGCCAAGAAGUGAGCAGAAAGGAAAGGGGGUGCCGCACAGAACGAGCUCCUUCCAGGUUGACACCAAGUGGAAUUCUCAAAGAGCCACAUCUGGAGGCAGCAGCUAUACAGUGAUUCACAUUGUAAAUGAUGUUUUGAAAUAGAGAUCAUUAGUAACCACAGAUGUGACCCAGCUCUGUCCCCCGGAUAAUCUGUCUAUUGUAUCUAAAUUCCAGACUUGGAAUUUAGGACACCCAGUGGAAUGUUUAAUAGGCAUUGUCCAACACCAUCCCCAAGUCUGUUCUUAUUCAUGAAGUACUCUAACAUCAUCUCGCUUGGUCUUCCUGAUGACUGUAAUGCAGACAGGGAACAGGGAAAGCCAUAAGGACUUGUACAAGGACCCAAGGCUACAAAGGGAAGGGCUGAGACCAGACCUCAGGUUUUCAGCCUUCAGGUGCUGUGAAGAUUGAGUGACUUAGCAUGAGCUUUCAGCCAGGCAAGCUGCAAAGUGCACCCAAGUUCUUUCAGCGAUCAACACUUGCGACUUUGGUUGAGACAAUUUUCAUCCUCCCUGAACCUCAGUUUUCCCAUCUGUAAAAAAUAAACAUUGCCUGCCUGGGAGGAUGGAGGUGAAA
rnacentral:lncRNA from 13 species